rnacentral:rRNA from 1 species
UAUCUCUGUAGAGUCUGCAUAUCAAUAAGCGGAGGAAAAGAAACUAACUAGGAUUCCCUCAGUAACGGCGAGUGAAGCGGGAAGAGCUCAAAUUUGAAAUCUUCAAGGUUCUACUUUGACGAAUUGUAGUUUAAAGAAGUGUUUUCUGUUGGAGUUUUGGUAAAAGUUCUUUGGAAUAGGACAUCAUAGAGGGUGAGAAUCCCGUAUUUGACCAUUAUUUCCAGCUUUGUGAUACACUUUCAAAGAGUCGGAUUGUUUGGGAAUGCAGUCCAAAAUGGGUGGUAAAUUUCAUCUAAAGCUAAAUAUUGGCGAGAGACCGAUAGCGAACAAGUACCGUGAGGGGAAGAUGAAAAGAACUUUGAAAAGAGAGUUAAACAGUACGUGAAAUUGUCAAAAGGGAAGCGUUUGACACCAGUGUUGUUUUCUCGAAAAUCAAUUAAAAAAGGUUGGAUUUUGUGUUGUAUUGACCUUAAAAGCUUUCUUCACUUUUUUCAUGUCUUUUUUAAUGCACUUUUCGUUCAACAAGUCAACAUCAGUUUCUUUUGUUGUAAAAAGGUCAUUGGAAGGUGGCUUUCUUUUCGGAGAAAGUGUUUAUAGCCUUUGACUUCUGCAAUCGGAGAGAUUGAGGUCUGCAGCGUAGAUCCUUCGGGGUUAGAUACAUUUGUGCUAAGUUAUAGCCUUUCAUAGACAACUUGUUGACUAUGAUCAGUCAUGUAGCUUACUCGCUUAUGCUAUUUUACCUACGCUUAGGAUGUUGAUAGUCACAGCGUGUAC